rnacentral:rRNA from 1 species
GACGAACGUUGGCGGCGUGCUUAACACAUGCAAGUCGAACGGAAAGGCCCUGCUUUUGUGGGGUGCUCGAGUGGCGAACGGGUGAGUAACACGUGAGUAACCUGCCCUUGACUUUGGGAUAACUUCAGGAAACUGGGGCUAAUACCGGAUAGGAGCUCCUGCUGCAUGGUGGGGGUUGGAAAGUUUCGGCGGUUGGGGAUGGACUCGCGGCUUAUCAGCUUGUUGGUGGGGUAGUGGCUUACCAAGGCUUUGACGGGUAGCCGGCCUGAGAGGGUGACCGGCCACAUUGGGACUGAGAUACGGCCCAGACUCCUACGGGAGGCAGCAGUGGGGAAUAUUGCACAAUGGGCGGAAGCCUGAUGCAGCAACGCCGCGUGCGGGAUGACGGCCUUCGGGUUGUAAACCGCUUUCGCCUGUGACGAAGCGUGAGUGACGGUAAUGGGUAAAGAAGCACCGGCUAACUACGUGCCAGCAGCCGCGGUGAUACGUAGGGUGCGAGCGUUGUCCGGAUUUAUUGGGCGUAAAGGGCUCGUAGGUGGUUGAUCGCGUCGGAAGUGUAAUCUUGGGGCUUAACCCUGAGCGUGCUUUCGAUACGGGUUGACUUGAGGAAGGUAGGGGAGAAUGGAAUUCCUGGUGGAGCGGUGGAAUGCGCAGAUAUCAGGAGGAACACCAGUGGCGAAGGCGGUUCUCUGGGCCUUUCCUGACGUUGAGGAGCGAAAGCGUGGGGAGCGAACAGGCUUAGAUACCCUGGUAGUCCACGCUGUAAACGGUGGGUACUAGGUGUGGGGUCCAUUCCACGGGUUCCGUGCCGUAGCUAACGCUUUAAGUACCCCGCCUGGGGAGUACGGCCGCAAGGCUAAAACUCAAAGGAAUUGACGGGGCCCCGCACAAGCGGCGGAGCAUGCGGAUUAAUUCGAUGCAACGCGUAGAACCUUACCUGGGUUUGACAUGGAUCGGGAGUGCUCAGAGAUGGGUGUGCCUCUUUUGGGGUCGGUUCACAGGUGGUGCAUGCCUGUCGUCAGCUCGUGUCGUGAGAUGUUGGGUUAAGUCCCGCAACGAGCGCAACCCUUGUUCACUGUUGCCAGCACGUUAUGGUGGGGACUCAGUGGAGACCGCCGGGGUCAACUCGGAGGAAGGUGGGGAUGACGUCAAGUCCUCAUGCCCCUUAUGUCCAGGGCUUCACGCAUGCUACAAUGGCUGGUACAGAGAGUGGCGAGCCUGUGAGGGUGAGCGAAUCUCGGAAAGCCGGUCUCAGUUCGGAUUGGGGUCUGCAACUCGACCUCAUGAAGUCGGAGUCGCUAGUAAUCGCAAAUCAGCAACGCUGCGGUGAAUNCGUUCCCGGGGCU